rnacentral:rRNA from 1 species
UGCACAGACAACCAGGAUGUUGGCUUAGAAGCAGCCACUCAUUUAAAGAGUGCGUAAUAGCUCACUGGUCGAGUGAUCCUGCGCCGAAAAUUUCCGGGGCUAAAACGUACUACCGAAGCUACGGCAUCAUUUAUGAUGGGUAGGGGAGCUUCGUAUGCAGGCUGAAGCAUGACCGUAAGGACAUGUGGACAGUAUACGAGUGAGAAUGUUGGCAUGAGUAGCGAGACGUGGGUGAGAAUCCCACGGGCCGUAAACCCAAGGUUUCCAGGGGAAGGUUCGUCCGCCCUGGGUUAGUCGGGACCUAAGCCGAGGCCGAAAGGCGUAGGUGAUGGACAACAGGUUGAUAUUCCUGUACCGCCAAUAAGCGUUUGAGAGAUGGAGUGACACAGUAGGAUAAGCUAACCGUACUGUUGGUUAUGUACGGCUAAGCAUUGAGGCAGUCUAAAUAGGCAAAUCCGUUUAGACAAUGCUAGGAUGUGAUGGGGAAGCCCUUCGGGGCGAAGUAGCUGAUUUCACACUGUCAAGAAAAGCUUCUAUCGAGUUUAAAGGCGCCCGUACCGUAAACCGACACAGGUGGGUGAGGAGAGUAUCCUAAGGCCAGCGAGAGAACUAUUGUUAAGGAACUCGGCAAAAUGACCCCGUAACUUAGGGAGAAGGGGUGCCUGUCUAUGACAGGCCGCAGAGAAUAGGCCCAAGCGACUGUUUACCAAAAACACAGGUUUCUGCUAAGUCGCAAGACGAUGUAUAGGAGCUGACGCCUGCCCGGUGCUGGAAGGUUAAGGGGAUCUGUUAGAGCAAUCGAAGCAGUGAACUUAAGCCCCAGUAAACGGCGGCCGUAACUAUAACGGUCCUAAGGUAGCGAAAUUCCUUGUCGGGUAAGUUCCGACCCGCACGAAAGGCGUAACGAUUUGGGCACUGUCUCAACAAUAGACUCGGUGAAAUUGUAAUCCCGGUGAAGAUGCCGGGUACCUGCGACAGGACGGAAAGACCCCAUGGAGCUUUACUGUAGCUUGACGUUGGGUCUUGGUACUACAUGUACAGGAUAGGUGGGAGACUAUGAAGCAUGGACGCCAGUCUGUGUGGAGUCAUCCUUGGGAUACCACCCUUGUAGUACUGGGAUCCUAACCAUAGGCCUUGAAUCAGGUCUUGGAACACCGUCAGGUGGGCAGUUUGACUGGGGCGGUCGCCUCCUAAAAAGUAACGGAGGCGCUCAAAGGUUUCCUCAGCACGGUCGGAAAUCGUGCGAAGAGUGUAAAGGCAAAAGGAAGCUUGAUUGCAAGACAUACAGGUCGAGCAAGGACGAAAGUCGGACUUAGUGAUCCGGUGGUACCGCAUGGAAGGGCCAUCGCUCAACGGAUAAAAGCUACCCUGGGGAUAACAGGCUUAUCUCCCCCAAGAGUCCACAUCGACGGGGAGGUUUGGCACCUCGAUGUCGGCUCAUCACAUCCUGGGGCUGUAGUAGGUCCCAAGGGUUGGGCUGUUCGCCCAUUAAAGUGGUACGCGAGCUGGGUUCAGAACGUCGUGAGACAGUUCGGUCCCUAUCCGUCGCAGGCGUAGGAAAUUUGAGAAGACCUGUCCUUAGUACGAGAGGACCGGGAUGGACGUACCUCUGGUGUACCAGUUGUUCUGCCAAGGGCAUGGCUGGGUAGCUAUGUACGGAAUGGAUAAGCGCUGAAAGCAUCUAAGCGCGAAGCCAACUUCAAGAUAAGAUUUCCCACCGUAAGGGUAAGACCCCAGGAAGACUACCUGGUUGA